rnacentral:rRNA from 1 species
UACGUAGGGUGCGAGCGUUGUCCGGAAUUACUGGGCGUAAAGAGCUCGUAGGUGGUUUGUCGCGUUGUCCGUGAAAACUCACAACUCAAUUGUGGGCGUGCGGGCGAUACGGGCAGACUGGAGUACUGCAGGGGAGACUGGAAUUCCUGGUGUAGCGGUGGAAUGCGCAGAUAUCAGGAGGAACACCGGUGGCGAAGGCGGGUCUCUGGGACGGUACUGACGCUGAGACGCGAAAGCGUGGGGAGCGAACAGGG